rnacentral:rRNA from 1 species
UACGUAGGGUGCAAGCAUUGUCCGGAAUUAUUGGGCGUAAAGAGCUCGUAGGCGGUUUGUCGCGUCUGCUGUGAAAACUCGGGGCUUAACUCCGGGCCUGCAGUGGGUACGGGCAGACUAGAGUGCGGUAGGGGAGACUGGAAUUCCUGGUGUAGCGGUGAAAUGCGCAGAUAUCAGGAGGAACACCGGUGGCGAAGGCGGGUCUCUGGGCCGUAACUGACGCUGAGGAGCGAAAGCGUGGGGAGCGAACAGG